GUUCCCGAGAGAGGAGUAGAGCCGUGUGUUGAUAAUAAAUUCUAUUAUUUCUGAUGUCACUAUAGAAUGCAGCACAUUUAAAAUAAGAAGCUCGGAUUAUCAGAGCCUCAACACAUCAAAUUUUGAAGCACAAUGCUGCGGCUAUUCAUAAUUUCAGUCACUGCUUUCAGACUCUGUUCUUUUCAGCCUAGUGGCUGUGAAUGUGAUUACAACGAGAAUGGAUGCUUCAUCCUGACACCAGCGCCACCUCAUUCAGCCUGCAAAUGCAUUAAGCAGUUUACUGAAACAUGUUUGGGUAUGCCAGCGCGCUGCCUACAAGCUGAUUCACCACUAUGCGCUCAACCAGACACAACUAUGGGAAGCUGUAUUCUAGGUGGAGGGGAUUGUAAGGGUUAUUUAAACAGCUGUGACUGUAAAUUGAUUUCUCUCUUCAGUUGCAAAAUAACAACCCCUCCCCCACCAAAUACAGCCUGCAAUUGCUACUUCAAAUAUCCCUUUUACUGUGCGGGCAAAAUUGUGCCAUGUAAGGAUUCAAAUUCUGAAGAGUGUAAAACCCCAACACUAAACGAGGCAACCUGCAGACAAGGUGGGGGAUACUGCGGAAGCCUUCCUCAAGCUUAAGUUUGGUCUAUUUGCAGACAAUUUCCCCUGGAUGGUGUUGGUAAUCCACUUCCCUUAAGCUGGGUACACACUACAGUGAUGUCCAGACAAUAUGCCAUUCCGUAACGACAUAUUACCUACAUCGCUCAGAGUGUACAGGGGAUUGCACACUCCCGCGGGCGCUAGCGAUGGCCAUUUGGUUCUAUGUGCUGCACAUAAAACCAAGCGUUAACGCUAGCGUCCUGUAUUAUGCUCUGAAGAACGGAAGAUGGUUGUUUCCGACCUUCAUGUACACACAAUCUAGGGCUGACAGGGAUUUGUUCCGAUGUCGGAACUAAUCCCUGUCGCUCUAGUGUGUAUCCACCUUUAAGGCCCGUACACACUGGACGAUAUAUCGUCCGUUCUCCUGAACGGCCGAUAUAUCGUGGGUCCAUCGGCCAGUGUGUACGGCCGAUACAUCUGUGAACUCCGUCGUUCACAGACGUAUCGCGUCGGCCCCGUAGCACAGCCGACGGCCAAUAUAUCUACCGAUAUAUUGGCGUGUCGCUGUGUGUGUACGGGUGGUCGGCCGACCGCCCGUACACAUGCUGCGGCGGCCGGCGGUGAUUGACAGCUAAACUGGGCGGGCGUGUGUACACGCCCGCCCAGUUCAUGACGUCAGUCCCCGACGGAUCGGCCAGUGUGUAUGCUCAACACACUGCCCAAUCCGUCCAUAGAUAUAUCUGCCGAUCAAUUGAUCGCCAGAUAUAUCUUCCAGUGAGUACCCACCUUUAGUCUACCUAUGUCUCUGGACAGACCAUAAUAGUUUUAAUAGUCUCUGCUUACAAUUCUAAAUGUAGCAAUGAAGAUUAGAUGACACUGUUGGGGGGAGGGGUGUGCCAGCAGUCUGCACCACUCCAGGGCUUAAUCUGUAGAUUUAGGAGUCUAUUCAUGAAGCAGUGAAAAGCGUGGAGAUGUGAGCCUGGGAAGAAGUUGCCCAUGGCAACCAAUCAGCUGCAUCGUACAAUUGUAUAGUAUGCAAAUUAUAAAUGUUACUUCAUUGCUGACUGGUUGCCAUGGACAACUUCUCCACUGACUCACUUCUCCACACUUUUCACUGCUUCAUGAACAGACCCCUUAAUAGGCUAAGCAAGUUUUUUGUGAGAGCAACUACUCUACAACGACAAGACCGAUUUUGAUGGUUCAGGUGUCAUUCAAUAGAAUGUGUGAUGUAGACAUGCAAUUAGGUCACAGAAAUGUGAUAAGUGGUCAGAUUGUUGAGGAAUAACCCAUCCAUGUCGUGAUUUUGUCCCAUAGAAAAAGCAUUGAGUGAGGAGCGAAAGCUUUUUCCUUUGGGUUGUAAAUUGCAGCAAAGCCCAUGCCAAUGUCUGCCCUAAAUUCAGUUGAUAUAAUUGUCGAGAUUCAAUUGUUGUUCUGCCGAAAGCCACUAGAUGGUGCCCGAGCAGAGCUGUUCAAUUGUAGCUCCAUUAGGGCACGAUGGAUGCCGGCGCCUGCAUUUCAGCUCCCACCCCCCUGACAGUGGUCCUCAGAUGAGAGGGUCAUUUACUAUGCAGGACUCAUCAGGAGGGAUGUAAUUGAUUUGCCAGCGGUUUGGAUCUUGGUGGUUUAGGAUACCGACACCAGAAUCCCGACCGUUGACAAUGCCGUCAGCUGGAAUGCUGGCUAACAGGGUCUAUUUCCACUCGUGGGUGUCCAUAGAUUGGGAACAGAACCCGUGGUGAGCAUGCGAGUGGCUUUGUUGCACUCACUCACUCCCCCCCCCCCCCCUCCCCCUCCCCGGCGUCCGGGAUCCCAACUGCCGGCAUUACAUACCCAACCCCUUCAGGAUAUUAUGGAACUAUGUUAAAUUAAGAAAGUCAAAGUGUCCUUUGAUUGGUUUCCAUGGGCAACACCACCGCUUGUCUGUUUUAGAAGCUAUAGUAAAUCUACCCCUACAUACUGUACGCUAUACUACCUAACAGAGAAGUCUUGAAUCAGAAGUCAGCAUCACUAUGGUCUAUUGAACUUAUUUCCAUUAUGUAUAGAACAAAGAACUCUGUUCAAAAUAUAAGUUCAGCCCCAUCAGCGUUGUGGUUGUUAUAGUUUUAGCUUACAUAAUCAUAAAUAAAGUGGUUUGGCAUUGGAUUAUGUUUGCUUUAUCAAUCAGAAAUGUCAUAUUUCAUCCUAAAUUCCAUGAAACCUUUGAUAGCGGUGUAAGUCACGAUUGCUUUGGAAUAUUUGGUGUGUGAUUUUCAACUAAUUCUCAAUAAAAUUGUCUGCUUGCAUCCCACACUAGAGGCUGGUUAUCUACAUACAUUUAGAUGUUGGGUUGAGUUUCUGUUUUGUCUUGUGAAUAGGGCU